GACGAACGCUGGCGGCGUGCCUAAUACAUGCAAGUAGAACGCUGACGCAGGAGCUUGCUUCUCUGGAUGAGUUGCGAACGGGUGAGUAACGCGUAGGUAACCUGCCUGGUAGCGGGGGAUAACUAUUGGAAACGAUAGCUAAUACCGCAUAAUAGUAGAUGUCGCAUGACAUUUGCUUGAAAGUUGCAAUUGCAUCACUACCAGAUGGCGCUGAGUUGUAUUAGCUAGUUGGUGAGGUAACGGCUCACCAAGGCAACGAUACAUAGCCGAGCUGAGAGGGGGGUUGGGCAAACUGGGACCGGAGAAAGGGUCAGGACUCCAAGGGAAGGAGCAGUAGGGGAACAUCGGCAAAGGACGGAAGGCUGAACGAGGAAAGACGGGGGGGGGAAGGAGGGUUUCGGGUCGGAAAGCUCUGUUGUUAGGGAAAAAAAAGUGGGAGAGUGGAAAGUUCACGCUGUGACGGUAUCUAACCAGAAAGCAACGGCUAACUACGUG
rnacentral:rRNA from 1 species